rnacentral:lncRNA from 1 species
UUUUAUAUAAACUAACCGCAAUAAUCUCGUCUUUUUUCUGUCUUUUCUCUCCUCUUUCACCUGAAAAAUCAGAUCUCAUCACCACCAGAACCAAAAUAAUAGAUCUAUAUACACGAGGUAUGUGGUUUCACUGGUUUAUAUUCUAUGAUAUUUUUGCCUUCUUGUCUUCUUCUUUGUCCUUUGCAUGUUUCAUUGAAAUUUAUCAUGUCUUCUUUGAUGAAAAAGAGUUAUUUAAAUUAAAUAGCUAAAAAAUAAGAUAUAUCAUAUUUUUCAUUUAUUAUUUAUUUACAAAUAAUUUUUUAAUUAAAUAAUCAAAGUCAUGACCCUUGAGAUCUUCCAACAGAUAACAUAUCAGUUGUAACAGGUUGGUCAUCUGUUAGAAAAACUCAAAACCUGGAUUUCAUGAACUAAAAAUCCUUGUUGAUGUUUUGUUAAUGUUAUGUUGAUUUUUUUGUUGAUGUUGUUGGUGUUGUUCAUAUUGGUUUUGGAGUGUUGGUGUUGGUGUUAAUGUUGGUAUUGGUGUUGCAGCAGGUGGAAAAUCCAUUGGAAGAUAUUAAAAUAGGUCUUCGAAUAAAUUCCUCAUUUGUUGCAACAGAUGAAUAACUGAUGAAAUAAAUUAAAAUAGAUCUUCCUAUAGAUUCUCUAUUUAUUGCAACAGAUGAAACAACUGCUGGAAUAAAUGAAAAUAGAUCUUCCAAUAGAUGACAUAUUUGUUUCAACAGGUUGAAAUUUACAAUAGAUGUGCAAUUUAUUGUAAGAAGGGGGUAAUCUAUUGCAACAUAUAGGUCAUCUGUUGGAAUUAUUGUUGAAAUGUGUUGUAUUUAAUGAAUUUUGUGUUACCUUUUUUUAGAUUAUGUAGAGAUCUCAAUUGUAAUUUUUUUUGUUUCCCUCAUGUUUGUAGAUAAAAUUUGUCUCCCAAAAGAAAGGAAAGUGAAAGUGGAUCAACUUUUGAUUGACUUACUUAAAAGGCUAGAGUACAGAUGGGUUCUCAAAAGAAAAAGUUGUUUGCAAAUCGUUGUACUUCAUAUAUACGAGGUAUGUGUUACUGAUCAGUUUAUUGAGAAAACACACAUAAAGUAGAAUAAUUUUGUGAAUGUUGUUUUUUACUGAUUAGGCAUUGAUCAUUAAAACAAGAUCUUUCCUUUUAAAGUUAAGUUUGGUAUGUCCGAACUGAUCAGGCAGAGGGACCUAGAAAGUGGUGCAGAUACUCUGCUACAGUCUAAUAAUGGUUUUGCUAAUGUUUAUGUUUAUGUGUGUAGUUUAGAGAACAAAUAAUGGUUUUAUGGUAGUGUAGAUGUUUAAUUGCGAUAGGACUGGUUUUAAAAGCUCAAUGGAUUGUUGAAAGGCCUUCGACUAUAAAAUUCUUCGUAGGAUAUUUUUUUUCCAAAAAAAUUAUAUCUCAGACUGUAAAAUGCAAAGUCAUCUAAAGUAAAGACUAAAGUGGAUUUGUACGUUAGAUAAGUGUUCAUUUUACAGUCUGAGAUCUAAUUUCUCAGGAAAAAAAUCAUCCCUCAAAGCAUUUUACAGUCGGAAGCCUUUCAACAAUCUAUUGAACCCUUAAAACCAGUCCUAUCACUAUUAAACAUCUACACUACAAUCAAAUCUUUAUCUCUUCUCCAAACUACACACAUAAACAUAAACAUCAGCAAAACCAUCAUUAGACUAUAGUUGGACAUAUCAAACUAGACUGUAAAAGGAAAGAUCUUAUUUUAAUGACCAAUGCCUAAUAGGUAAAAAAUAUCAUUCACAAAAUCAUUGUACUUUAUGAGUGUUUGUCACAAUAACCUGAUUAGUAAUCCAUAUGUCACAUUUAUGAAAGUGGAUCCAUCUAUUUGCACACUUUUUAUUCUUCCUACCCCAUUUGUUCCCAUCAAUGACAGAAACAAAAUAGUAUUUUAUCUUCAUUUCCCAUCAUGAAGAAAUAUACAAAACAUAGAAAGGUAGUUUGAUUGAAUCAACAAAUUAGAUGAACGUUGCAACAAAUAACUCAUUUUUUAGAAUAUAUCAAACAGACAAGUAAGUUGUUGCAGCAGAUUACUUAUCUGUUGGAAAUAAAUCAAAACAAGUCUUGCUAGUUGUUUGAUUUAAUCUAACAGAUCACUAACAUAUUGCAACAUAUAGAUCAUAUGUUGGAAGAAGUCAAGGAAAACGGUUAUUAAUUUAAUAAGUAAAUAGUUAUUGGAAAGGUAAAAAGUCAUGAUUGUUCACCUUUUUUGCAUUUAAAUCUAUUUUUUAAUUUAAAUAGUCAAAAAUUCACCAAUUUUAUUUAAUUAAAGGAUGUAAUUAUUAAAAAAAAAAAAAGGUGAACAAUCUUGGCUUUUUGACUAACACAUUCAAGCUCAAUCCUCUAUAAAUAGGUCCCUCCUUACUCGUUUAGUCUACUCCACUUUAUUUAUUUCUUACACCUUGUCUUUUAUAAAAACACUAUUAUAUCUUCAACCAAUUCUCUUCAAAGAGAAGAUUCCUUUUUCGUCCAUUGAGAUAUGUUUUUUUACUUUUUGUAAAACUGUUGGACUUUUUUCUUUCUUUAGUUUUAUAUGUUUUUUUGUUAAUGCAUGUGUGUUCUAGAUAUAGCUGAUCUGGGUUGGCACAUGGUGAUUCUACGUGACACAAAGCAGAAACUUAAAAGGCAGAUUCCUGAACUCUAGUGGGAGUUGGGCGCCAUGAGAGCAAGGCUACUUUAUGAGAUUUGAAGGCUGAGGAGGGCCUUGCUACUGUCGGUUGACCAUUGGCUGGUUGAUAGUAAUAAUAAUAAUAAUAAUAAUUAGGUUAUGUUACAAC